rnacentral:rRNA from 1 species
UAGGCAUGUCUAGUAUAGCAUUAUACCGCGAAACUGCGAAUGGCUCAUUAUAUAAGUUAUCGUUUAUUUGAUAGCACAUCACUACAUGGAUAACUGUGGUAAUUCUAGAGCUAAUACAUGCUAAAAAUCCCGACUUCGGAAGGGAUGUAUUUAUUAGAUUAAAAGCCAACGCCCUUCGGGGCUUCCUGGUGAUUCAUAAUAACUUUUCGAAUCGCAUGGCCUUGCGCCGGCGAUGGUUCAUUCAAAUUUCUUCCCUAUCAACUUUCGAUGCGAAGGUCUUGUCUUCGCAUGGUUGCAACGGGUAACGGAGGGUUAGGGCUCGACCCCGGAGAAGGAGCCUGAGAAACGGCUACUACAUCCAAGGAAGGCAGCAGGCGCGCAAAUUACCCAAUCCCGACACGGGGAGGUAGUGACAAUAAAUACUGAUACAGGGCUCUUUUGGGUCUUGUAAUCGGAAUGAGUACAAUUUAAAUCUCUUAACGAGGAACAAUUGGAGGGCAAGUCUGGUGCCAGCAGCCGCGGUAAUUCCAGCUCCAAUAGCGUAUAUUAAAGUUGUUGUGGUUAAAAAGCUCGUAGUUGAACCUUGGGCCUGGCUGGCCGGUCCCCCUCACCGGGUGCACUGAUCCAGCCGGGCCUUUCCCUCUGUGGAACCCCAUGGCCUUCACUGGCUGUGGCGGGGAAACAGGACUUUUACUUUGAAAAAAUUAGAGUGCUCCAGGCAGGCCUAUGCUCGAAUACAUUAGCAUGGAAUAAUAGAAUAGGACGUGUGGUUCUAUUUUGUUGGUUUCUAGGACCGCCGUAAUGAUUAAUAGGGACAGUCGGGGGCAUCAGUAUUCAAUUGUCAGAGGUGAAAUUCUUGGAUCUAUUGAAGACUAACUACUGCGAAAGCAUUUGCCAAGGAUGUUUUCAUUGAUAAGGAACGAAAGUUAGGGGAUCGAAGACGAUCAGAUACCGUCGUAGUCUUAACUAUAAACUAUGCCGACUAGGGAUCGGACGAUGUUAUUCUUUGACGCGUUCGGCACCUUUCGAGAAAUCAAAGUGCUUGGGCUCCAGGGAGUAGGCCG